GACGAACGCUGGCGGCGUGCUUAACACAUGCAAGUCGAACGGAAAGGCACUGCUUUUGUGGGGUGCUCGAGUGGCGAACGCGUGAGUAACACGUGUGUAACCUGCCCUUGACUUUCGGAUAGCUUCAGGAAACUGGGGCUACUACCGUAUAGGAUCUCCUGCUCCAUGGUGGGCGUUGGAAAGUUUCGGCGGUUGGGGAUGGACUAGCGGCUUAUCAGCUUGUUGGUGGGGUAGUGGCUUACCAAGCCUUUGAAGGGUAGCCGGCCUGGGAGGGGGACCGGGCACCAUGGGACUGAGAGACGGAGCAGUGGGGAACGGUAGGCAGUGGGGGGGAGUAUUGCCCAAUGGGCCGGAGCGUGAGGCGAAAGCGUUGGGUGCGGAAUGCCGGCUUUCUGGGUGUGAACCGCUGUAGCUUGUGACGAAGCGUGAGUGACGGUACUGGGUAAAGAAGCACCGGCUAACUACGUG
rnacentral:rRNA from 1 species